UCGACGAAACCAAAUAGAAGACGAUUAGGGAUUCCGCCGUAUUACUCUUCAGUCUUGAUCUUUCCCCUGGCGAUUCCUCUUCCGGUCACCAUCGUUUAUGAUCGCUUUCUGUUUUAUGUCUGCUGGGCUUGGCAGUUGGCUCGGUAACGUUUAGGUUACCUACUUCAUCUUCGAGACUGUAUGUUUCUUCUGUUUCCUCUUCUCCAAUCGUAAAAGUUUAUUACUUUCUUCCUUAUUCUUUUUUUUUUUAAACUGAACUUUCUUCCUUAUUCUUUUGUACCAACACCACCACCCCAUAAAGAUUUCUGAUUGAGUUUCUCAUCUGGGUUUGCUCCUUCUUAUUUUGAGUUUUAUUUUUAUUUUCUCAAACUCAUAGAAAUUUCGUCCAUACGUUCUCCUCUCCUCCAGAAGGGCGAGCCUUCUUCUCCUUUUCCAGACUCCAAAGUGACCCUUCGUUUCCUUUCUACCAACUCUCUCAUCUUCCGCGGCGAGAAGCUCCAGUUCGAGCGUUUUGUCUCGUGGAGAGACUGCUCCGCCGUCGUCGACCUUCAGCAAAGGAGUUUAUAAGGUUUCUGGGGUUGGGUGUCGUGGAGAACCGAAAUUGUGGUUUCAGUACUAGAUCCUCUCAGAUCAACGAUGCCUGGAAGUUAAGAAGAAGAGCUAAAUCUCAUGAGUUCCUACAUUGUAUUGUAUUUAGAGGCUAUUGUCAGAAUAUUUAGUGCAUGUUCAGAGAAAAUAAUAUUGAAAUCUGAGAAACUCUUAAGAGAAAAAGAAAAAGGAAGGCUCAAGCGGAGGGGACACAAUCAAGUUGGAUCUUGAAGAAGAAUUCUAGCUCUCUCCGGAAAAAUGAGGACUUUGAGUUAGUCUUUAUGUCUUCUUCUGCUGUUGGACUGCACCCUGGCCGCUGGUGCUGAUGGUGGUGAUGGGGGUGCUCCAACGUACAAGGAUCCAAAGCAGCCUUUAGGUGCAAGAAUCAGAGACCUGACGAACCGCAUGACUCUCCAAGAGAAGAUUGGUCAGAUGGUUCAGAUCGAAUAUAGCGUCGCCACAGCUGAUGUCAUGAAGAACUACUUCAUUGGUAUGAAAGCAAUCUUUGGAACUGUUUUUAAUUGUUCCAUAUAUUGUCUAACUGAGUUGAUCUUUAAUGUAUGUGUAGGGAGUGUGUUGAGUGGUGGAGGAAGUGUGCCUGCACCAAAGGCCACACCUGAAGCUUGGGUGAACAUGGUCAACGAGAUUCAGAAGGCUGCUCUUUCCACCCGCCUUGGGAUCCCCAUGAUCUAUGGAAUUGAUGCUGUCCACGGUCACAACAACGUGUAUGGUGCCACCAUUUCCCUCACAAUGUGGGCCUUGGAGUCACCA